CCACCCCGUUCCGGCCCGGUUUCAAUCCCCACCUCCCACCCUCCGGAUCCAAUCCGGAUCGACGCGGAGAGGGGAGGGCAACGGGGCACGGGGCGCAGCUGGCGGCGCGUGGAGAGGGGAGGGCGACGGUGCAGCGGCACGGCGGCGCACCGGCAGUGAGCUUGUCCUCCGUCGCCUUCUCACCAGAGGCUUCUAGGUCAAUACUCAAGCUGCUAGAAAGGCAUAGGACAAGGCCAUGAUCUGAGUAUAAGAGGAUUUAUCAUGCUAUUUUAUCCUGCAUUAUCAUAAGUUACCUACCCGGAUUUUGAGAAUGAGCCUUCUCAGUUUUGUUUAUUUGUUGCUUUGACAAUCUUUCAAACAUGACUCAAUAGGUCUCUUAUGUAAAGACUCACACUUGGGUAUUUAUUUUCAGUUUGUUUGAGAUUAUACGGUGAAGAUUCAAAUUUUGUA